AUUGGUGGACGGUCUACACUGUGGAUCCGGUGAGGUAGUAGGUUGUAUAGUUUGGAAUAUUACCACCGGUGAACUAUGCAAUUUUCUACCUUACCGGAGACAGAACUCUUCGAAGCUGCGUCGUC
rnacentral:precursor_RNA from 15 species